rnacentral:rRNA from 1 species
AAUUUCUUGGAUACAAUCCAUCACAAUAUGUUGAUCAAGUACGAUUAGUUAAAAAAGAAGAUAUAGUUAAAUUUAGCAAAGAUAUAUGUUUUAUUAAUGGAUCAAAAAUAUCCAAUGAUUCAAAAUACCUUUCUGGUUAUGAAAAAAAUUUCAUACUUAAAAAAAUAGUAAAGUCUUAUCAUAAUCCUAAAGUACUAUUAGAUUUUCUUCACGAAAGUAGAUCUUCUUCCUAGCUAAUUCGGGAUUAGAUAUAUUGGUAUAUCUAUUCUUAUUACCGGUACUAAAUACCCCGGUAGUCCUAGCUGUAAACGAUGCCCACUUGGUGUUACAAAUCUUUAGGGGAUUUGUAGCGCCGUAGCGAAGGUGUUAAGUGGGCCGCCUGGGGACUACGUCCGCAAGGAUGAAUCUCCUCCAGAUGUAUAGGCGCAGGAGGAUCAUCAGACUUAAGGGAAAGAAAAUAAUUUCUCGAAGAUCUGAAACAGACUAAAAUUAAAAUAGAUUAGUAGAUUGUGCAAACAAAAACAUAGAAUCAGAAAGAAAAUAAUAUCUCAAACAACUUUUUAUUAUGUCUAUUAGCAUUAGCUUCGGCUAUUGCUACGUUGCUAUACGAAUUUAAUUUCGUAUAGCAACGUGUAAAAAAUUGAUUAUGAGAUUGUUUUCCCCAAAUUGGCGGGGGAGCACUACCAGGGGUGGAGGCUGCGGUUCAAUUGGAUUCAACGCCGGGAACCUUACCAGAAAAGACGGUAGGAUGAUGGUCAGCCUGAAGGGCUUACCUGACACACCGAGAGGAGCUGCAUGGCCGUCGUCAGCUCGUGGUGUGAGCUGUCAUGUUAAGUCAUGAAACGAGCGAGACCCACGUCGUUAGUUGCUAUCGUUUUCUCAGGAAGACGAGCACUCUAGCGAGACCGCUUGUGCUAAACAAGAGGAAGGAGUGGGCAACGGCAGGUCAGUAUGGCCCGAAUUUUCUUGGGUUACACGCGGCCUACAAUGCGUAGGACAACGGGAUGCAACCGCGAGAGCGGAAGCCAAUCUCUUAAAUCUACGCUCAGUUCGGAUUGCGGGCUGCAACUCGCCCGCAUGAAGCCGGAAUCCCUAGUAAGCGGAGGUCAUCAAGAUAAUGAAAACUAUGAAUGCACAGGCCAAGUAAAAUUUUUAUCCAUAAAUGAACUUUUUCAAAGUUCAUUUUGGUUGUAGAUUGCAUCUACAAUAGUGAAUAACUUUCUCAGCCAUGACAGAUUGAAUUUG